rnacentral:rRNA from 1 species
GUGCCAGCCGCCGCGGUAAUACGGAGGGUGCAAGCGUUGUUCGGAAUUAUUGGGCGUAAAGCGCGUGUAGGCGGUCUUUUAAGUCUGAUGUGAAAGCCCCGGGCUCAACCUGGGAAGUGCAUUGGAAACUGGGAGGCUUGAGUACGGGAGAGGAGAGUGGAAUUCCUAGUGUAGGAGUGAAAUCCGUAGAUAUUAGGAGGAACACCGGUGGCGAAGGCGGCUCUCUGGACCGAUACUGACGCUGAGACGCGAAAGCGUGGGUAGCAAACAGG